UACGUAGGGGGCAAGCGUUGUCCGGAAUCAUUGGGCGUAAAGAGCGUGUAGGCGGCCAGAUAAGUCCGCUGUGAAAUCUCGAGGCUCAACUUCGAGCUGUCGGUGGAAACUGUCUGGCUAGAGUCCGGAAGAGGAGAAUGGAAUUCCUGGUGUAGCGGUGAAAUGCGCAGAUAUCAGGAAGAACACCCGUGGCGAAGGCGGUUCUCUGGGCAUUACCUGACGCUCAGGUGCGAAAGCUAGGGGAGCGAACAGG
rnacentral:rRNA from 1 species